UACGAAGGGGACUAGCGUUGUUCGGAAUUACUGGGCGUAAAGCGCACGUAGGCGGAUUGCUAAGUCAGGGGUGAAAUCCCGGGGCUCAACCUCGGAACUGCCUUUGAUACUGACAAUCUCGAGUCCGAUAGAGGUGGGUGGAAUUCCUAGUGUAGAGGUGAAAUUCGUAGAUAUUAGGAAGAACACCGGUGGCGAAGGCGGCCCACUGGAUCGGUACUGACGCUGAGGCGCGAAAGCGUGGGGAGCAAACAGG
rnacentral:rRNA from 1 species